CGCCCUAAUAGCUUAGUUUAAAGCAUCGGUCUUGUAAUCCGAAGAUCGGAGGUUAAACUCCUCCUUAGCGCU
rnacentral:tRNA from 1 species